GAGAUUUGGGAUGGCAGAGGUGAUGGCUACGCGGCCUUUAUCAUGGAAAAGAGCUGCAUUCAAGAAACACGGAUGUAUAAGCUGCAGCAGUACUUGCGCAAGAAGCAUCAGUCUGCCUCAGCUAGCACAAGGACCUCCACCAAACCCAUUGGAAUGGAUGAUGACAAAGAGUUGGAGGAGGCAAUGCUGAGUGUCUCACCUGAAAAACUUGAAGCCAACAGCUUUACUGUGCCAGCAGCAGCAGCAGCAGCAGCAGAAGUACCCACACCCAGAGUGCCUUCAGGAGCAAAGACAGGUUUUUAAUGAAAGGUUUCAGAACUGGAGUACAAUUGUUUUACACGACGAAUUGCCCUCCAAAACUGAACCUUAACUUAAACUGUUAUAUCAUGUUGUUCUUGUGUUUGUGUUCUGGCCAUGUUCCGGCCACAUUCCUCCGAUAGUUUAGUUGUGUGCUGGCAUGAUAUUAACUGCUGUAAGGACUAUGAAUUGAUACCUGCCUUCAUGAAUUGAUACCAACCACAAGGGGUGAGUAUGCACUUUUGUCCUUUAUGGGUGUUGUAUUAAAAGCGAUCAAGUAGCACUAGGCACUAACACCUGAAUGAAUGGUUGUUCAUUGACUCAUGUUGCUUCUCCUGCUUCAACAAGUAGAGGUUAGAAGAAUAAAUUUGUUUAGUUUCUGUUGCAAUUAGAUAUUUUACAUUUGUUUAACAAUGAGAAACAGGAGAAGUAAGAGUAUGGAUGUUUGAGUUCCUACUAACACCAACACUCACAUACAUUGUAAAUUAUGAAGUGACUAACACGUUUUUCC